CUCUCUCUCUCUCUUUUCCCCCCUUUGGUCAUUUGUUUCUUAAAUGCCACAUAUGAGUAAAAUCAUAUGGUAUUUGUCUUUAUCUGACUGAUUUCACUUAGUAUUAUAUUCUCCAGCUCUGUCCAUGUUGUUGCAAAGGGCAAGAUAUCAUUCCUUUUAACAGUUGAUAAAUAUUUUUUAUUUUUAUCAAGAAAGGGCAAAACAAAUUAUGUUCCCUCAGUACAUUUGGUCUCUCCUCUCCACCUUACAAAUCAGAUUCUGAUUCUCACUGAAUUGUGUGCGAUCCAGACGAAGGUUUGUUACUAUUUGCUACUUUAUUAAAUGCUUCAUCAUGAGGUCUUCAUGUGUUUUCCGACCGCUAAAUUUCACCAGAGCAAACCCACAAUUUACUUCAAAACCAUCACAAGAGUUUGCUGGCCUUGACCUCUUGAUCAUUUGUUUGAGAUUUUUAUACUAACCACACAUUUCUGGGUAAGUGAGCACACAUAUCCAUGCAUUUCUGCAAUAUUAUGGUAAAAGUCUUGGUCAAGUUGUUUUCAGAGGGGGUGGGGAAGCUGUAUUUUUAGUAUUCAAGUGACCCCUGGGUCCUGGGUAAAAUGCAGAUUGCAAAAAAGAAGACAUGACCAAUCCUGGAACUUUGGCCUUUGGCCCAGAAAUAUAUCUUGAUGGGUGUCUGGCCGAAUUUCCACAGCAAUUCUUAGCACAAUAAAACUGACAACCAUGAGCUUUUCUCAAAUGUUUACACUGUAGUUUCUUAACAACAUGUGAACACAAUUGAAGCAUUUAGAAAUAAUCUCUGGAUUCUCGAAAUUCGCAAACAUUGGUCUGACCUUGAAGAAAGGGGUAGACAAGGAAUUUGGAAUUCCUAGCCUGGAAUAACUGAAUUAAGUGAGAAUAAGAUGUCACCUCCUCGAGGACAACUCGAUCCUUUUCAUCACGACUAGCCUCUUCAUGUUUGUUGGGACACAUAUGGAGGAGAAUUACUUAAUCCGACUGAUAACCCAGAAGGAACUUGCAAAUACUCCUGUGUUGUUGUGAAGUCCCUCAGCCUCAACCUUGCCUAUGGCUGUUGGUCGUGAUGCAGCGGUCUGACACCUUGGCUUCCGAGCCAAGCUCCACGGGGCGCUCAGUAUGGACGACGAACUGGGUUCCUUUAGACAAGUCAGUGUCUUAUCAGUUCUGUUCCUCUGGAGAAGCCCGACUCAUGCCAAGGUGGAGGCGCCUAAGAAUCAUCUCAAGGUUAUUGUUGAAGGUGAGCUGGAUCCAGUCUACUGCUCUCCCAGAGCAAAGGAAACAAGAAAAAUUAGAACGUCACAGGUGGAAACAACAUAGAGAGUGUUUUCCGUUUCCCUCAACAUCCCUCGUCUAUUCCAGUCAUUCUGCUUGUAUGAAGAGGACUUACAGGUUCCCAAACAGAGUGUUUCUUCAUGUUCUGGAAAGGAUCCAUUCUCGUAACAGCAGCCACUGAAAACGACAGCUCAGGAAACCUAGUGCGCACUUGUAGUCAAAAUCGAAGGACGGUAAUAGCAAACCACGACGAACUACUCCUCAUUCUCUGUGCGAUAAAUGUAACUCAUACAUGAUCUCAUUUGGCCUCCAUCACAACAAUGCACAGCAGCUGUGAUUUCUCCCAUUUUAUUUUAUUUCACUCUUUUAUUUUAAAUUUUUUAAAAAUGUUUUUAUUUAUUUUUGAAGGUGAGAGAGACAGAGCAUGAGCAGGGGAAGAGCAGAGAAUGAGGGAGACAUAGAAUUGGAAGCAGACUCCAGGCUUUAAGCUGUCAGCACAGAGCCCGACACGGGGCUCGAACUCACGAACUGUGAGAUCAUGACCUGAGCCAAAGUUGGGUGCUUAACCGACUGAGCCACCCAGGCGCCCCACAUUCUAUUUUAUUUUAGAGAAAGAGCAUGCAAAUUAGCAGGGGAGAGGAGCAGAGAGAGACAGUCUCUGAAACAGGCUCCAUGCCUGUCUUGGAGCCUAGUGGGGCUCCAUCCCACAACCCUGGGACUAUCACCUGAGCCAGAAUCAAGAAUCGAACACUCAACCCACCGAGCCACCCAGGUGCCCCUAUUUCUCCUGUUUUAAAAACAAGGAAACUGAAGUUCAUAAAGUUUCUGGUCAAAGCUUGCUAGAAGGGUGUGUUGACCCAGCCCUAGGGGACACACAGACGGAAAAACUAACGUCCACUACACGGAAGGAACUUUGUCUGGAGAAGUGAACUAAGAUUGCCAGGCAAGCGAGAACCACUGCACAGGCCAGAGAAGACAGAAGCUGUCACCAGAAGUCGGGCCGGUCACGCCUGGGGAAUCCCACACGGAUAUUUCAUAUCGUGGGCACCCAUUUAUGAGAGCAGGAUGGGGCGGUGGAGAGGCAGCAAUUUGACUCUGGGGCCGGACCCUGGGCUCCAGUCUGAGCUCUAACAUGACUGCCCUUCAAUCUGGGAAAUUCCUCUUCUCUAGGCCUAUGUCUCCCUACCUAUAAAAGGCAAUUAGAUUAGAAAAUCUUGGAGUUUUGCAAAGAUUGUGCAAACCUCUCUGUAAAACACGACCCCAAGCUCGGUUUUUGUGGCUUUCUCAAAAAGAAAAAUACAGAUUUGUUGUGCAAGUG